CGGGGAGGUAGUGACGAAAAAUAACGAUACGGGACUCAUCCGAGGCCCCGUAAUCGGAAUGAGUACACUUUAAAUCCUUUAACGAGGACCAAUUGGAGGGCAAGUCUGGUGCCAGCAGCCGCGGUAAUUCCAGCUCCAAUAGCGUAUAUUAAAGUUGUUGCGGUUAAAAAGCUCGUAGUUGAAUCUGUGUGUCACAGUGUCGGUUCACCGCUCGCGGUGUUUAACUGGCAUUAUGUGGUACGUCCUACCGGUGGGCUUAGCUCCUCGCGGGCGGUCCAACUAAUAUCCCAUCGCGGUGCUCUUCACUGAGUGUCGAGGUGGGCCGGUACGUUUACUUUGAACAAAUUAGAGUGCUCAAAGCAGGCUACCUUCGCCUGAAUACUGUGUGCAUGGAAUAAUGGAAUAGGACCUCGGUUCUAUUUUGUUGGUUUUCGGAACCCCGAGGUAAUGAUUAAUAGGGACAGAUGGGGGCAUUCGUAUUGCGACGUUAGAGGUGAAAUUCUUGGAUCGUCGCAAGACGGACAGAAGCGAAAGCAUUUGCCAAAAAUGUUUUCAUUAAUCAAGAACGAAAGUUAGAGGUUCGAAGGCGAUCAGAUACCGCCCUAGUUCUAACCAUAAACGAUGCCAGCUAGCGAUCCGCCGAAGUUCCUCCGAUGACUCGGCGGGCAGCUUCCGGGAAACCAAAGCUUUUGGGUUCCGGGGGAAGUAUGGUUGCAAAGCUGAAACUUAAAGGAAUUGACGGAAGGGCACCACCAGGAGUGGAGCCUGCGGCUUAAUUUGACUC
rnacentral:rRNA from 1 species